rnacentral:rRNA from 1 species
AGGGUUCGAUUAUGGCUCAGAUUGAACGCUGGCGGGGAUGCUUUACACAUGCAAGUCGAACGGCAGCACGGACUUCGGUCCUGGUGGCAAAGUGGCGAACGGUGAAGUAAUGUAUCGGAACGUGCCUAGUAGCGAAAUAACUACGCGAAAGCGUAGCCCAAUACCGCAUGCAUAUUCGAGGAAAACAGGGGACGCUUCGGGCCUCGCGCUAUUGAUGACCGAUAUCAGGUUGUGGAUUGGUGGGAGUAACAGCUCACCAAGGCGACGAUCCGUAGCUGAAGUUUGAGGACGACCAGCCACACUGGGACUGAGACGGCCCAGACUCCUACACGGGAGGCAGCAGUGAGGAAUUUUGGACAAUGGGGAAACCACAGUCCGGCUUCAUCCCGCGUGUGCGAUGAAGGCCUUCCGGAUUGUAAAGCACUUUUGGCAGAAGAAACGGCACGGGAUAAUACCCCGAUGCAGCCUGACGGUACCUGCAGAAUAAACUGCCGGCUAACUACGAUGCCAGCAGCCGCGGUAAUACGGCAGUGCAAGCGUUAAUCGGAAUUACUGGAGCGUAAAGCGUGCGAGCGGUUCGGAAAGAAAGAUGUGAAAUCCCAGAGCUUAACUUUGGAACUGCAUUUUAACUACCGAGCUAGAGUGUGUCAGAGGAGGUGGAAUUCCGCGUGUAGCAGUGAAAUGCGUAGAUAUGCGGAGAACACCGAUGGCGAAGGCUGCUCCUGGGAUAACACUGACGCUCAUGCACGAAAGCGUGGGGAGCAAACAGGAUUAGGAAUACCCUGGUAGUCCACGCCUAAACGAUGUCAAUGUAUUUGGGGCCUUCGGGCCUUGGUAGGCGCGGCUAACGCGUGAAGUUGACCGCGCAGGGAGUGCAGUGCGGGUAAAACUCAAAGGAAUUGACGGGGACCCGCACAAGCGGUGGAUGAUGUGGAUUAAUUCGAUGCAACGCGAAAACCUUACCUACCCUUGACAAUGUCUGGAAUCCCGAAGAGAUUUGGGAGUGCUCGCAAGAGAACCGGAACACAGGUGCUCAUGGCUGUCGUCAGCUCGUGUCGUGAGAUGUUGGGUUAAGUCCACGAGCGCAACCCUUGUCAUUAGUUGCUACGAAGGGCACUCUAAUGAGACUGCCGGUGACAAACCGGAGGAAGGUGGGGAUGACGUCAGAGUCCUCCUUAUUUUAUAUGGGUAGGGCUUCACGUCAUACAAUGGUCAGGACAGGGUCGCCAGCCCGCGGAGAGGGAGCCGUCCCAAACCCGAUCGUAGUCCGGAUCGCAGUCUGCAACUCGACUGCGUGAAGUCGGAAUCAUACGGCAAUCGCGGAUCAGCAUGUCGCGGUGAAUACGUUCCCGGGUCUUGUACACACCCGCCCGUCACACCAUGGGAGUGGGUUUGCCAGAGUGGUUAACCUAACCGUAAGGAGGGCGAUUACCACGGUAGGAUUCGCUGACUGGGGUGAAGUCGUAACAAGGUAA